rnacentral:rRNA from 1 species
UAAGGAAUAUUGGUCAAUGGACGCAAGUCUGAACCAGCCAUGCCGCGUGAAGGAUGAAGGUCCUCUGGAUUGUAAACUUCUUUUAUCUGGGACGAAAACGGGAUUUUUAUCUCAAUUGACGGUACCUGAGGAAUAAGCACCGGCUAACUCCGUGCCAGCAGCCGCGGUAAUACGGAGGGUGCGAGCGUUAUCCGGAUUUACUGGGUUUGAAGGGUGCGUAGGUGGGCUUAUAAGUCAGUGGUGAAAUCUCCGAGCUUAACUUGGAAACUGCCGUUGAUACUAUAGGUCUUGAAUUAUCUGGAGGUAAGCGGAAUAUGUCAUGUAGCGGUGAAAUGCUUAGAUAUGACAUAGAACACCAAUUGCGAAGGCAGCUUACUACAUAUAAAUUGACGCUGAGGCACGAAAGCGUGGGGAUCAAACA